rnacentral:rRNA from 1 species
UAAGACGAACCGAGCGAACGUUGUUCGGAAUCACUGGGCUUAAAGGGCGCGUAGGCGGGUUCUCAAGUCCGGGGUGAAAUCCCACAGCUCAACUGUGGAACUGCCUUGGAUACUGGGGGCCUCGAGGGUGGUAGGGGUAUGCGGAACUAUCGGUGGAGCGGUGAAAUGCGUUGAUAUCGAUAGGAACUCCGGUGGCGAAGGCGGCAUACUGGACCACAUCUGACGCUGAGGCGCGAAAGCCAGGGGAGCGAACGGGAUUAGAUACCCCGGUAGUCCUGGCCCUAAACGAUGGGUACUAGCUAGUAGGGUUCACAUGGCUUUACUGGCGAAGCAAAAGUGCUAAGUACCCCGCCUGGGGAGUAUGGUCGCAAGGCUG